GGAUGAGAGUGAGUGGCUGCAAGGAAAAAAGGGCUUUGAUCCCUCUACCUCUACAUUUUGGACCUUUAUCUCCCCAUCCCACUUUUAUUUCUUUUUUUAUUAUUUAUAUUUUUAUUUUUUAUCUAUAUUCCUAUUAUACUCUUAAGUAAAAUUUAUUUUAUAGGUUAAUUUUAUUUCCACUUAAAAAACCUAAUUUUUAUUUUCUCACCUUCUGCUCUCUCGUUCGGUUUCAUCGUUGUUUCUUCCAAUUCUUCUGUGCUCUCUUUUCUUUUACUAUGAGUAUUGUUGGCC
rnacentral:lncRNA from 1 species